UAAUCCAAAGUGUGUUGGUCUGAGGUUC
rnacentral:piRNA from 1 species